ACUCAAAUGAAUUGACGGGAGUCUACACAAGCGGUGGAGCAUGUGGUUUAAUUCGAUAAUACGCGCAGAACCUUACCAACUCUUGCAAAUUAGAUUAAAAAAUUUAAUUUAAUCUAAACAGGCGUUGCAUGGCUGUCGUCAGCUCGUGUUGUGAAAUGUUUGGUUAAAUCCUUUAACGAGCGCAACCCCUAUUAUUAGUUGCUAAUUUAUUUAAAUAAAUAAAAGCACUCUAAUAAAAAUGUCAAUGAUAGGUUGAAGGAAGGUAGGGAUGACGUCAAGUCUUCAUGGCCCUUAUGAGUUGGGCUACACACGUGCUACAAUGAUAAUUACAAUGAGAGGCAAUAAUGAUUUAAAAUUGGAGCAAAUCUUUAAAAAUUAUCUUAGUUCGGAUUAUGGGCUGAAACUCGCCCAUAUGAAGCUGGAAUCGCUAGUAAUCGCAGAACAGCAUGCUGCGGUGAAUAUGUUACUAGACUUUGUACACACCGCCCGU
rnacentral:rRNA from 1 species